rnacentral:rRNA from 1 species
AUACGGAGGAUCCGAGCGUUAUCCGGAUUUAUUGGGUUUAAAGGGUGCGCAGGCGGGAGAUUAAGUCGGCGGUGAAAUUUUGCAGCUCAACUGUAAAAGUGCCUUCGAAACUGGUUUCCUUGAGUGUAGAUGAAGUAGGCGGAAUUUGUGGUGUAGCGGUGAAAUGCAUAGAUAUCACGAGGAACUCCGAUUGCGCAGGCAGCUUACUAAACUACCACUGACGCUCAGGCACGAAGGCGUGGGGAUCAAACAGGAUUAGAUACCCUGGUAGUCUACGCAGUAAACGAUGAUUACUAGCUGUUUGCGAUACAAUGUAAGCGGCUGAGCGAAAGCGUUAAGUAAUCCACCUGGGGAGUACGUUCGCAAGAAUGAAACUCAAAUGAAUUGACGGGG